AACGAACGCUGGCGGCAGGCUUAACACAUGCAAGUCGAACGCCACCUUCGGGUGGAGUGGCAGACGGGUGAGUAACGCGUGGGAACGUACCUAUUGGUUCGGAAUAUUCUCGGGAAACUGAGAGCAAUACCGAAUAAGCCCCGAGGGGGAAAGAUUUAUCGCCAAUAGAUCGGCCCGCGUUAGAUUAGGUAGUUGGUAGGGUAAUGGCCUACCAAGCCUACGAUCUAUAGCUGGUCUGAGAGGAUGAUCCGCCACACUGGGACUGAGACACGGCCCAGACUCCUACGGGAGGCAGCAGUGGGGAAUAUUGGACAAUGGGCGAAAGCCUGAUCCAGCCAUGCCGCGUGUGUGAAGAAGGCCUUUUGGUUGUAAAGCACUUUAACCGAGGAGGAGGCUACCGAGAUUAAUACUCUAGGAUAGUGGACGUUACUCGCACAAUAAGCACCGGCUAACUCUGUGCCAACAGCCGCGGUAAUACCUAGGGUGCGAGCGUUAAUCGGAUUUACUGGGCGUAAAGAGUGCGUAGGCGGCUUCUUAAGUCGGAUGUGAAA
rnacentral:rRNA from 1 species